rnacentral:rRNA from 1 species
GAUGAACGCUGGCGGUCUGCUUAACACAUGCAAGUCGAACGGUGAACCCUCGGGUUCAUAGUGGCGGACGGGUGAGUAACACGUGAGAAUCUGCCUUCAGGUCGGGGACAACAGCGGGAAACUGCUGCUAAUACCCGAUGUGCCUACGGGUGAAAGAUUAAUUGCCUGAAGAUGAGCUCGCGUCCGAUUAGCUAGUUGGUGGGGUAAAAGCCUACCAAGGCGACGAUCGGUAGCUGGUCUGAGAGGAUGAGCAGCCACACUGGGACUGAGACACGGCCCAGACUCCUACGGGAGGCAGCAGUGGGGAAUUUUCCGCAAUGGGCGAAAGCCUGACGGAGCAAGACCGCGUGGGGGAUGAAGGCUCUUGGGUUGUAAACCCCUUUUCUCAGGGAAGAAGAACUGACGGUACCUGAGGAAUCAGCAUCGGCUAACUCCGUGCCAGCCGCCGCAGUAAUAC